GCGCCCCUGGGUACGCGUCCUCCAAUGCCAGGGAGAGCCCGCCGACGUGCCGAUCGGCCCAGCGGCGGGCGCCGGUGAGGCCCGUCCCGGGCCGGCCCAUAUCGUGGUGGUCGCCGUCGUCCACGGCGGCGGAGAAGGCCGGGUGAUCGUCGGCGGCGGUGAGGACGGCGGGCCAGACGUCGUCCUCGGAGAGGUCGGGAAGAUCGGCGGCGCCUCCGCCAUCGCAACGGGCGGUGGGGCCGAGGAGCCGCUCCGCCCCGCGCCUGCGCCCCUUGGCCAUAGUCGCCGCCGCCGCC
rnacentral:lncRNA from 1 species